rnacentral:rRNA from 1 species
UACCUGCAGCUCGAGUGGUAACCGCUAUUAUUGGGCCUAAAGCGUCCGUAGCCGGUUUGGUAAAUAUCUGGGUAAAUCGUGAGGCUUAACUUCACGAAUUUCGGAUAGACUGCCAGACUUGGGAUCGGGGGAGGUCAGAGGUACUCCAGGGGUAGCGGUGAAAUGUUGUAAUCCUUGGAGGACCACCGGUAGCGAAGGCGUCUGACUAGAACGAGUCCGACGGUGAGGGACGAGGCCCUGGGGCGCAAACCGGAUUAGAUACCCGGGUAGUCCAGGGUGUAAACGAUGUGGGCUUUGUAUUGGAGGUCCCACGUGGGCGUCCAGUGCAGAAGAGAAGUUGUUAAGCCCACCGCCUGGGAAGUACGGUCGCAAGGCUGAAACUUAAAGGAAUUGGCGGGGGAGCACAGCAACGGGAGGAGCGUGCGGUUU